rnacentral:misc_RNA from 1 species
GUGAGUCAUCGAAUCUUUGAACGCAUCUUGCGCUUCUUGGCAUUCCAGGAAGCAUGCCUGUUUGAGUCUCAGUUGACUCUCACUCUGUGGAUCUGGGCGACUCGCUUCGGCGACCGCCUGAAAUGCAUCAAGCUGGCCUCUAGAGUGCUCAGCACUUGUGGCUCGAUAAUACUCCGGUUUAUUAGUCAUUUCGUGUUGGUGUGUCUCUAGCGGACCUGUGUAUCUGUCGGCGUACUCGUACCCGACAUCUGACACCUUGAGCUCAAAUCAGGCAAGACUACCCGCUGAACUUAAGCAUAU